ACAACCAUUACAACUCUUGCAGAAUCAUCCACUACUACUGCAGGAGUUACCACAACAGCACCACAAACUACUGUUGCAACAGCAGAAUCCUCCACAACCGCAACAACAACAGCAGUGCCCUCAACAACCAUUACAACUCUUGCUGAAUCAUCCACUACUACUGCAGGAGUUACCACAACAGCACCACAAAUUACUGUUACAACAGCAGAAUCCUCCACAACAGCUAGAACAACAGCAGCAACAUCUGAAACACCAGCAACUUCAUCGCCAACAGGUUCAGCCACAGUCUUUACAUCUAUUAUUGGUACAUCCACCAGUGGUACAGCAAUAACCGCAAUAGUGACACAAUCUAAAGUUACUACAGAGUCUACAGCAUCUAACACUUCUACAGAACCUGCAGUGUCUACAGCUGCUAUAGCUUCUACUGUAUCUACAGCUUCAACAGCAUCUACAGCAUCAACAGCAUCUACAACCUCUACAGCAUCUACAGCCUCUACAACAUCUACAACCUCUACAGCAUCUACAACCUCUACAGCAUCUACAAUCUCUAAAGCAUCUACAACCUCUACAGCAUCUACAACCUCUACAGCAUCUACAACUUCCAAAGCAACUACUGCAAAAAUAAUACCUGAAGUGCUAACAGAUCUAGUGUUUAGCUCUUUUGAGACAUUUAUAGAUGCACUCAGUGAUGUCAACAGUGAGGAGUUUAAGAUUAGGUCUAAACUUGUCAAGGAUGAGCUUGAGCCUGUCUACAAAAUCAAGUAUUCUAACUUCCUCAGACUGAAUGUCCUAAGAUUCAGAUCAGGGUCAAUCAUCACAUCAACACAACUAGCUUUCAGCUUCAACCAAACUAUCCCAUCUGUUCAAGAGAUUUCAAACACCCUCUUGGAAGCAGUGGGAACAGGGGAUGUCAAUCCAUUAAAGAUAAUCCCUGAAUCAAUUUCAGUCAAUGGUUCAGCUACAACUGUUGCUCCUGCAACAACUACAACAACCACCACAGCAACUACAGUUUCAGGCGGAUUAAAGAUUGAAUCCAGUCUGUUCCAAGCAAUAUGCCUCAUUAUUAUGUCUAAAAUAUUAAGCUUUUUCCUAUAGAUCCCUUAAACAUAUCAACCAAACAUGAGAGUUCAACAAGACACACUGUAACAAAUUAAUUAAACACAAAAUGUAUUUAUUAUUAUUAUUAUUAAAUGUAUAGUAUUUCUCAUUGUAGCACAUUCUCAAAUACUAGUAUUGAGCAACAUAAAGAUAACUUUGAUAAUGCAUUUUUGCUGAAGAAUAUAACAGUAGAUAUCUGUUUAACAGCAGGCUGUUUUCUGGGAGGGAGAAGUAGAUCUUUUUCCUUAUGUAUUUCCUUUAAAUGUAAACAUUGUGAAUGUUGUUUAACUGUUUUGAGGUUAAUACUGUUUAAACUACUUAUUUUUGUUUGUCUAAGUUCUAACAUUGUAAUAUGUAAUAUUUUAAUUAAAUAAAAAUAUUUAUUAAAUGAUGUAGUCCA
ensembl:lncRNA